CACCCCGCCCCCCACUUCCCUUUGCAGUACAGCAGAGCGCUGAUCAAUCAAAGCCCUCAUUUGGACGGUUAAUAUCUGCAGUUACAUUUUCUCCUGUUCUCUGCACUAGAUAAGCGCAUCACCUACUUCCUUAACAUUUUCAUCAGACAGUGCCCACUACUCAAAAGAUUUGUUCACUUAGAAGUUUCAUGUGCACAAAUGUAAUUUUGUAAGUAAGUCUUAUAUCAGAAUGACUGUACCCUCCUUGCUUUAGAGCAAGGAGAUGCUAUUCAACGGGCCCCUCUCCCCUUUUUACUUUAAUGUGCAUAAUUGCAAUUGUCCUUGCUUCUGUUGGAGUAGGAUUGCAUCUCCUCAUUCCCCCUUUGUAUUAGGGGCAUAUUAACUAUGAAUGAGCUCUUCUAUUGAGAUUAUUAAUGUGCAUAAUUAAUUGUACUUGUCAGAGUGCCAAUGCAGUAGGGAAGGUGCUGUGCUCUAUGCCCUUACCACUGCCUUUGAAUUACUGAUGAGGAGCUCCAUGAUCUCAGCUCUUCUGAUUAGAUAGGAUCCCAUACUUUCUUUGUAUACAUCAUGUAUGCCCCCUUCUGUUAAAAUAGGAUGCCAUUCCAUUAUAUCCCCUUGGCAUUACUGCAGGGGCUGCUGACCACACAAAACCUCUGCAAAUCUUAAUGGACACAAUGGCAAUUAGCAAUGGGUUUGUCCUCCCUGAUCUUAUUAGGCAAGCACUCCCAGCCCCAAUUUCUCAUGGCAUUAUAAAAUGUAAACAUUGCAGUAUGACCUUCAAAUAGCAACCCAUACUCCCACUUCUUUUGCAAUGCUCCAGGGCAUACAUUUUCAAGUAGUCAUGGUCCUACCCUUAUCUUCCCUCUCCCUACUCAUGCUUGUCCUUGGACCCUUCUGUGGACCAUUAAUAAUCACAAUUUCAGGGUGUCCAUGUAUCCAGCCAUUAGAUAGUAUUGUGGCCCCUCAUCCUUCCUGCCCCCGCUGUGCCUCACCCCGCCCUUUUGCAUUGCUGGUGGGGAAUGUUGACUGGGCAAGGCCCUUUCACUUGGACUUAAAUGUUAACAAUCCCAGAUGUCAUUGGUUUACCCAGUUUAUAUUGCUGUGGUGCUUCAGUUGCACUUUACUUGGUCCUGCCCAUCUGACAUGGACCCCUCCAUUUCCCUUUUUGCACUGCUUUGAAGUAAUGAUGACUACCCAAAGGCCCUUCUGUGUUUUUACUUAACACAGUACCGAUUGUCCCAUUUUUCAACCCAUCAACUCAAGACCUCCCUACCACUUUGAUGUUGUGUUUGUGCAGUGUUGAUUACCAAAAGCAGGCCUGAACUAGGUGGAUGGGCCUUCACUCCUUUUCUUGCAUUUGUUAAUAAUCCGAAUUCCAAUUAUUGUCCUAUUCUUGGGACAGGAGUUAUCUCUGCCCACCUCUGUUACUGCUUUACUGGGCAAAAUGCUCAAGGCAAGGCAAGCCCAAGGAGCUGGAUUGCCACCCUUUACAUUCUGGAUUUUCAAUAUACACUAUAUAAGUAUCAGUUGAGAGUUGUCUCCCCAGGAAGGAAGGUUAGCACUAUCUCUGCAUUUUUCCUUCCAAAGCAGGUUGCCUGGCUGAGAAUCUCUCCUCUUUGUAUAUUGCUAUUCUACAGAGUCAAUUGCCAGGAUACAACCAAAAGUUACUGCUAAUUUUUAUUAAGAAAGACAACUGGAUUGCAAGGUGGAAUUGAUAAACUGGGCAUUACAUUUUUGAAGUUAAAAACCCAUUUAUACCAUGUACCUGAUGACCAGUGUCUCUCAUUUUACUAAGGGUGGUGGGUCUGUGGAUAGACCACUGUGACUCUUGCUAUACCAAAGGAGUUCUAGAAUGGAACUCAAGACCAAUAUCUUUGGGCUCUACCACCAUUCUAAAACCAUGCCGUUUGGGUUUUACCACCAUUCACUUUUAGAAAAACUACCUAAAUUUCCUAAUCCUUAAAUUUCUUCAUCUGGAACACCAACCAGCCCCUACUUAUUUCAAGAAGAUAACUGUAAAAGGAUGAAAUGAGACAACAUAUACUGAGGUGCUUUUGAAAACCACAGAUCGCCUUAUUUGAUUAAUCUAUUACAUAAUGAGGACUUAAAAAUAAUGGGACCUGUUUCCCUGUUUUAUAUCAAAAGAAUAGUAAGCUAGCCAUUCUUCUGGAUAUAAACUUGUUUGACAGUGAGCUGCCUGGUAAAAAAUGAUUAGCCUAGCCUCUAGUGUACAGGUUUUGAUGGCAGAGAAGUAUUUAAUAAGGAACUACUGAAGCAAAUAACUAGACAUUACAACAGCAGUUCUUUGUAAUCACUGAAAAAGAAUACUAUUCCUCUGAGAAGGAUGUCAAAAGGUCAGCCCAGGUCAGGGUGCAGUUUGUACUUCUAGCUCCUUGGACAGCUGUAAGAAGAGUCUCUGGCUCUUUAGAAUUCUGGAUGAAUUCUGAGCCAGUUCUGAACCACUACUUAGGAAUGAUGGUCAAUUGUAGGUGGAUUGAAGCCUGCACUAGAAAGCAUCCAAAGGACAUUCUGGGCAUGUGAGACCUGAGGACUACAAUAAACUCUAAGGAGCUCCAUAUUCAUUACAUCUUUCCUUUUGAGAAUCUGGACAAGCUCCAAUUAAUUUAAGGAUGGCUUGCAGACUAUCUGAAGAAAAAGAUCUUCCUCAGAAGAAUAGGCUUGUUGCUUUACAGUGUUAGUGACCUAUUCCCUUUGACGAUCCCUAGGUGGAGAUGGGGCAUGAGGAUCCUCCAGGGGAAUAGCUCACUACCACUGGGCAACAACCCUAGGCCAGGAGGUUCUACCAAGAUUCUCUCCUGGGCCCAGAUAGGAAGGUGAAGUCUCAAGACAUCCUCCACACAUCAGAGCUCCUGGUUAUUCCCUUUAUAGUAUCUACCAAAUCGUUCAUCCUUCUGAAAAGCAAUCCAGAGAACGAGAAAUUUGAACACACCAAAGGAAGAUCAACAUGCCUGGCAUUCUAGCAUUUUAGAAUAGCAGAAUAAAUGUGUAUUUCUUUGCUUAUCUAUUUCUUCCUUGAAUGUCUUUGGUCUUUGUUCUCUCAAGUGUCUUACCCAAUUCUAUGAUCCUCUUGCUUAUUUCUUCUGUGUAUCUUUGUCUUGUUUUCUUUUUUGUUCAUAAGAGUUGUUUGUGCCUUGUCUUAGAUGUCUCUCAUUUUUUCAUUUUGUUACUAAUUAUCUUUGUUCUCCUAGCUCUUGUUCUUCUUUCACUGUUCUUCCCAUUGCCUCUGAGUCUCAUGCUAUAUGCUUUUUGCUCAUUCCUUGUCUUGUCCACCUCUAUUUUUCCCCUCUCUUUGUGAACUCUUGAUUGUUCUUCAUUCUCUCCUAUUUUGUUAGUUUGACAUUUUACCUAUUUCUGAUUCUGGCCUCCUUUCUGCUGUUUCUACUCUUCAUCUUGGAUUUCUCUCUUCUACAUGUCCUUUCUGCCUCUCUUGGGCCAUUUCCUUUCCUUUUUCCUGCUCUAUGUGUUUCUUUGUUCUUUGUGUCUUUCCAUUUCACCUUUCUUCUCUUCUCUCUGUUCUCUUGUUCUUUUGCUUUUUCCAUCCACCCACCUUUGGGUAUUUCAGCCUCUUCAUGAGUCUGUGUAUCCCACCUUUGAUUUCCUGCAAUCCUCUCUCCGUGCAUAUUUUUUGUAUAUGUGUGUGUGUACAUCCAUGUGUGCAUGUUUGCGACAAAGGGGCUUCGUAACCCCUUCCCAAUAGGUGCAGAGUGUCUUCUAUCAAAAUAAGCAUUGCAGAGCUGUUCCUUAUGCCAGGCCGUCCUGUGAGAUAAUUCAAAACUAGUAGAAGGCCCAAGUAUCCAAAGACCUAAGAUGUACAGAAGGUGGAAGGCCCAUAAUGGAUAUAAUUCCCAACACAGAAGACAGAAUUGAGACCUGUGGACUAAAGAAUAAAACCUGUGUCCCAAGAUAGAUGGAAACCUCAGCCUUGAGACCAUUAGAAGCCCUAGAGCCAUUAUGUACAUAAAGAAGGUGGCCCUUGUCAGACAACUGAGUUGGAUGGAAGUUCUCAUGUCUUGAGUUAGACAAAAAGCUGAAGACCCAAGAUGAAAGAACAAAGCCUAUGAGUGGGGAUACAUGGAAAGCCUGAGACCUGAGUCACAAAACCUGAGAUAAAAAAACUUAGCUUGAACACCGAAGACCCAAGGAUAGGAGGUGUCACACACACAUAAAGACCCAGGAGUCAAGCCUCUCUAUGUGGACUUGAAGACCCAAGAGAGACAGAUAUCUUAAGACUAAAUUAGGUGGAAAGCUGGAGUUCCAUGACCCUGAAUCUAGGAAGACUGGAAACCCCAAGACCAGAGGAAAUCCCAAUAUGAGGACCCUAAACCUCAGCUCUAUUCUGCUAUCCUCCCUACACUUGGACAUUUUCAGUUCUUCCUUUCCAGUAUUUAUACCUCCAUUUAAGCCCACUAAUUUUGUGAUAUCCUUUUUGAUGUUGUUAUUACCUUGAAGAGAUAUCUUGAGAUUGGCAAUAUUUUGCCUGGACCAGUGUAAGGUUGUUUUUAUUAUAGUUUUGAGUCAUUUAUUAACUUUUAGGUAUUUUUUAAACUUCUUUUUUUUUCAUCUCCACUCCGUUUGAGAGAGACAUAUUAGUGAAAUUGUAUUUCAGUCCUCCCUUUUCCUCAGAAGCUCUAGGCUGAUGAGAACAGGAAAUUGUCAGGCUAUGUAGAGAAAAUGUAAAGAGAUGCUCCAGGCCAAUAUGAACAUUUAGAUAGAAAAUACACAGAUGUGCCAGCCUCCUGAGAAGCACCAGCCAGUAAUAUAUGAUUUCUUUGAGCUUGGAUGAACAAGAUUCCUGGAAUUUGGGAUUCCUAGUGAUGGUUAGAAAAAAGAAUGAGUAGUCCUGGAACAGAGUGAUGCCCCAAGGAGACAGCCUGAACUCCCUGCUCAUAGUAGUGGCCUAAUAAUUUGAUAGGCUGAACCAACCCUGCCCUAAGCUUUAAUAGCAACCUCUGGGCUUAAAGGUGACAGAAUUUGGAAGUAAUUAGGUUUUAAUCUUUCCUUGAUUUUUCUCCCCCCUUAUCAUGAGGAAAGAUAAUUUAAAUAAUUGAGAUAUAUAUGAAAAUAAGGUGUUUUCAUUAAUAGCGUAUUGCCAGCUAUGUACACUGUCAGUUUUGAAGCAUUUUGUACAUCAGGGAUCAUCACACUCUUUCUAUAAAAGGUGAAAUGGUAAAUAUUUUAGUCUUGGCAGGCCUAUGGUCUCUACAUUUCGCUUCUUCACCCCACCCCAAUCCUUUAAAAAGGGAAACUAUUCUUAUCUCAUUAGCCAAGUGAAUUUGGUCUGUGGACCAUAGUUAACCCUGAUGUAAAUGCUGAAUAAUAUUAAUUUCCUUGUGUGAGUCUGUCCCUGUUCUAGGCACUAAGGACUCAAUGAUUAUUUAUCAUCACAUCCAGGUGACCUAAAUAAAAAUAAGUGAAUAUGCUUUUAAACUAUGAAAGUGCUUAAAGACUUAUAAGUUUCAGAGCUGGUAAAUAUUGAUUACAUAUCAACAGUAUGUAAUACUAUGCAGAUAUUAGGAAUUAAGUUAUUGAUCAAUGAAAAUUUCAUAUAUUUGUAGCCAUCAUGUUUCUGCUGCUUUGGUGAUUUUGAGUACAUACAGUAUUCCAAGUAGCAGAAAAGAAAACACAUAGAAACUGCUUUUAAACUGUAAAAUAUACAGCGAACACAAGGGAUCAAGCUAUUUUGAUGACUUACAAUGGGUCAGAUAACAUGCUAGACACCACGGAUAACAAAAAAAAAAAAACAAUCUCAAUAUAGAAGUAAAAUUUUCAGAUAAGAAAUGCAUUUUAAAGUGGUUUGUAAACUAAAGCACUAAAUAUCAAUGGGCUAAAUGUUAUGAAUGAAUGAAUGAAUGAAUGAAUAUUAACUGCCUUUUAUGUGCCAACUAUUGUUUUGGGUUCUGUGAAAUCUAAGGUAAUACUCCCCAAGUAAUAAGAGGGAGGUUUAUAUUGUAAGGAAAUUAGAUAAUGCUUAUUUUAAUCAAUCAAGCAAGACUUUACUGGUAAUAUCAGGUUAUUACCUGAUAACAGGAAAAUGUAAUGAAUGACCUUGAGCUUCCUAAACUAUAAAGUGCUGUGUAAAUACAACAUUAGGCAUUUUCUCUGUGGAUAAAACUUUUCGUGAGAUAAACAUUGUCUAUAAAAUUCACCCCCUAUGAGAGCGGUAGUAUAAAUAGUUAUACAAACUUGAGGGUUUGAAUACUUGUUAAAUGAAAGAAUAUCAGUUGCCUACUAUGUGAACUCACUAUUACAGGCACUAAAGAGAUACACACAUUUAUAAUUUUAUUGUGCCUACAGUUUAGAAUAAGGCAGUACAUGUUAGUAUUUUGUGAACUCUAAAGCACCAUAUAAAUGUCACUAUUGAUUUUUCUCACUUGGUGCAAAGUACGAUAAAAAUUUGAACUAUUAACUAUUGAACACUCUGAAUAUAAUAUGUAAAAGAUUAAAUUUAUGAUGAAUUCAAGACUGGACAAUAAUGUCUACUAUGUGCUAUGUGCCAGUCUUUUUGCUAGGCAUCGAGGACCUGAAGAUAAAACAUCUUUAUUGUGUCCUUGAUAGCUGAACAUAAUGUAUGAAGUCAAUUUAAAAGUCUUGAACUGCCAUACAUAUGUAAGCAAUAUCUCUUGUAUGAAUAUUGAUUAUUUACUCUCAUCCCCAGAGAUAACAACUAGUGAUGCAAAAAUUCAUCACCCUUAUUUUUCAUCACCAACCUGUAACAGAGAUCUAUGUUAGAAAUCCUAGUGUUCUAUAUUGAUAUAAGGAAUUAACUGUUGGCUUAAUGAAUGAUGAAUGAUAACUUUUUAUGAGGCUUAAAACUACACAUGCCCUAAUAUAUAAAUAUGAUUUCAUCCUUAUGGGAUGCUAACAGAAGGAAAUAAUGUAAUAGGUGUGAGCUCCAGACUAAAAAGUACUUAACUACUGCUAGGCUUAUUUAAUGAUAAAAACAUUGGGAAAAUAGAACUGUGCAAAGCAGUAUGCUAAAUGCUGAGCUACAUGGAAAGAUACAAUCCAGAUCAGAAAGCUACUUGCUUCCUUGCCUAAUUGAGGAGAUGGAUUAUUAUUAUUUUUUAAAGCAAGGUGUUCUUGUUCUCCAUCAGUUUUUUAAAUGCUGAAUGCUAAAGAUGGAGGUGAAUGAGCUCCACCUUAGCCUGGCUUAAAGACAUUUAAGAAGUAAAAAUAAAUGGCUCAGCAGUGCUUUUAGAUUUCAUUUGCUAAGCAUAGCAUAUUUUAUGUGCAAUAAAUCAUUCUAGUUCCUGAGCAUAAGAGCAGUGAAAUGGACCUAGUCUAAAGGUCUUUAGAUUGAACACAGAUCAUAGCUGCAGAUCUGAAAAUAUCUUUGAUUUUUUAGUAAAUAUUUGAGUGCCUGUUUUCAGGGAAGUACUAUGCUCAUUUAAUGAGGUAGGUAUGGAUCAGAAAUCCCAUUGACUUGCUUUGGAGAUUAAAAAAAAGAAGAAAAAAGUCAUGGUCCUUUUAAUUUAAUAUGAUAUUUUUCCCUAGUUCUGGAUAGUCUCAACUUCACAUGCUCAGUGACCUAAAUUAAAGCCAGUAGACUGUUAAAAAAGGCUCAAGAUUUCUCCUUUAAUUCAUUAAGUUUCUGCUUCUAUUAUAGUUUAAGACAAGAAUUAAGCUGAAACAACUGGUUUUAAAAAUACUUGCUCAUUGGCCUAGCUUAGAGUCAGGAAGCCACUUGAGCAAUAAAAACGAUUUUUUUUUCUGUAAAAAUUUAUUCACUCUGAAUAAAGUGCUGUCCUUACGUGCUGAGGAGAGUUAAGAGAUUCCAAAGACCAAACUGCACUUUCAUUUCACUAGCUUAUGGUUGAAACACCAAGAUCAAAUUUUAUUACUGCAGGUCUUUCAUUGAGCAACUAUGAUAUUAAGACACUGAGAAGGAAUGAUUAAAUAGAUCAUCUUCUCUUUGACAUGUUUUGUAGAGUGGGAAUGAGAGAGCUUCUUAUUUAUUCAUACAAACAUUGAAGAAAAUGAUGCUAAAAGAAAUAGAUCUGGUACAAAAGGCAUUUUAUCUUGGAGAUGCAAUAAAAAAGGAAUGGGAUAAAACAAACAGAAGUAUCUAUUUCAAGGCAUUGUGCUAAUUUCUAGACAGAAAACAAAAAAGUUCUUAACUAAAAGACACUUGUUUUUAACUAGCUUGGAGACUAGAAUAUAAAAGGUUACUUUUCAUUCGCUUUUUUUCAUUCAUUCAUUCUACAGGUAUAUUUGAGUGCCUAUUUUAUAUAAAGUAAUUUGUUAGAUACUCACUUGGCCCAAGAGACAUGAAAAAUGUAUGCUUUCUCAGGAAAAUUUUUAAAACUUUGCUUUUGGGUUGUUUUCUUGUUAGGGGUUGACUUAGACCCUGAGUAACAUUGUGUGGUUUAAUUCCUACUCCAUAUUUCUUCUAUUACUCUGGCCACUACAAUAAGCAGGGUUUUCCACUGAAAUAGCUCCUUAAGUUCCAGGAACCCUCUUUAGACCAUUUUUACUAGCUCAUGUAAAAUGAUUGGCUACUGUUGGAUAGAAGGAGAGAAGACAACUAAUUCCCAAACCCCAGUGUCAAUGGUACCAGCCUUGGAGAACCAUUCAUACUCAAGCCACAAUUGGUUUUGAAACAUUUAACAGUUUUUUCUAUUUUCAGUUCUUUAUCCUUUACAUUCUGACAAAUAUACACUGCCUAAAUGGAUCUGAGGAACAAUCCUCAGAUAGUACAUAUCAAGAUUGGAGAUGGAGACAUGAUUUUUCUUUAACAACAGAUUUUGACUUAAACUUUAGAAAUUGCCUCUCAGUAUCAAAACCUGGUCAUGAAAGGACUUAUGUAUGGCGGAAUAUGGUCAGUGAAUCAAAGUGGCUUAACAAUUUACCAAGCUUAAAUUUUAAAAGUAAUAAAAAUGAGAAAUAAUUGGCAAAGAUUGGAGGGAAAAAUACCAAACAAAAAAUUAAAAACCCAAACCUUUAAAUCCAGGCCCCACAGGGCUUUGACCUUUUCUAUUUUUAAAUCACUCACAGAGGGUGGGAUAGGAGGAAGAGUGAAAGAAAAGGUCAAACCUGUUUCUAAGGGCAGCCUGCCUAUUUUGGGGUUGGUCUUUAAGUUUUUGAGAAACACCCUUUUGGCAGAAUGAUGAUAUUAUCAAUUGAGUCUUGAGUUAGAUAAUUAAUGUGAUUUAUCAAUUAAAUCAAUUUGGCCUCCAUCAUAAAGUAGUGUUAAAUCUAAAAGCAAAGAGAACUUUACAGUUCACUGUAAUUUAUAAUACUUUAAAACAAUAUAUACUUGAGUUUACAUGGCAAGCCAUCAAUAAUAUGCAUAAAUGGAGAAGAAAAUAAAUGUGGAGGUAGCACAUUUGAGAAUUUGGGAGGAUUUUCUGAUUUUUGCUGUGUACAUUUUAAUUUUGCCAUCAGGUACAUCUGUAAUGUUUGACUUUUAAUAUGUAGUAUCAGCUGGACUCAGUAACACUCCUUUCUUCAGUUGGGGGUGGGUCUUCAUUUUUGGAAAGUGCAAAGAAAAAAGUAACUACAGGCCUUCCUUUUGCAGUUUCUGGCAUCUUGAGACUACCACUACUGAUAAAACAAGAAUAAGAGAACAUGCUACCAUCAUCUGAUUUUUUUGGCAUAAAUAAAGUAGUAAACAAAUCCAUUUUUGUAAGGAUGGCUUUAUCUCCACCCUUCUACCUCAAAGGGAAUAUAUGCCAAAAUGCUUCAUUAAAUGAAAGAAACACUGACUUGUGAACAGAUGUGAAAUGAGAAUCUCAGCCUUGGGUGAUUUGAAGAUUGACAAAUCUUGCUCAGCAUGGGUGACAUCAAAAAGCAAUCUAAACCCAUCACAUGACACAACUGAGAUAAAUUGGGGAGUAUUUUUUCUAAUGUCAA